GAUGAACGCUAGCGACAGGCCUAACACAUGCAAGUCGAGGGGCAGCACAAGGUAGCAAUACUGAGGUGGCGACCGGCGCACGGGUGAGUAACGCGUAUGCAACCUGCCUGUAACAGGGGAAUAGCCUCUUGAAAGAGAGAUUAAUGCCGCAUAAUACGAGAUUCGGGCAUCCGGAUUUAGUUAAACAUUUAUGGGUUACAGAUGGGCAUGCGUUUCAUUAGGUAGUUGGUGAGGUAACGGCUCACCAAGCCGACGACGAAUAGGGGUUCUGAGAGGAAGGUCCCCCACACUGGUACUGAGACACGGACCAGACUCCUACGGGAGGCAGCAGUGAGGAAUAUUGGUCAAUGGACGCAAGUCUGAACCAGCCAAGUCGCGUGAAGGAUGAAGGUAUUAUGUAUUGUAAACUUCUUUUGUCAGGGAAUAAUGGGUGUCACGUGUGACGCAGAGGAAUGUACCUGACGAAUAAGCAUCGGCUAACUCCGUGCCAGCAGCCGCGGUAAUACGGAGGAUGCGAGCGUUAUCCGGAUUUAUUGNGUUUAAAGGGUGCGUAGGCGGUUUGUUAAGUCAGUGGUGAAA
rnacentral:rRNA from 1 species